rnacentral:rRNA from 1 species
CCCUUAGAUGUUCUGGGCCGCACGCGCGCUACACUGAUGCAUUCAACGAGUUUCUUCCUGGUCCGAGAGGAAUGGGUAACCUUUUGAAAGUGCAUCGUGAUAGGGAUAGGCUAUUGCAAUUAUUGGUCUUCAACGAGGAAUUCCUAGUAGACGUAGUUCAUCAGACUGCAUCGAUUACGUCCCUGCCCUUUGUACACACCGCCCGUCGCUCCUACCGAUUGAAUGCUCAGGUGAGCCAUUCGGACUUUCAUCAUGCAGGUUUCCAGUUUUGAUGAAGGAAAGUCUUGCGAACCUUAUCAUUUAGAGGAAGGAGAAGUCGUAACA